GAUGAACGCUAGCGGCAGGCCUAAUACAUGCAAGCUGAACGGUAAAUGUUGUAGCAAUACAAUAUGAGAGUAGCGUAAGGGUGCGUAGCACGUAUGCAAUCUACCCGCAACAGGAGGAUAGCUCCCCGAAAGGGGAAUUAAUACUCCAUAAGAUCACGAGAAGGCAUCUGAUUGUGAUUAAGCUCCAAGGGGUUGCGGAUGAGCAUGCGCAUGAUUAGUUAGUUGGCGGGGUAACGGCCCACCAAGACGAUGAUCAUUAGGGGAACUGAGAGGUUGGUCCCCCACACUAGAACUGAGAUACGGGCCAGACUCCUACGGGAGGCAGCAGUAGGGAAUAUUGGUCAAUGGGUGAAAGCCUGAACCAGCCAUGCCGCGUGCAGGAAGAAAGCCUUCUGGGUUGUAAACUGCUUUUAUCUGGGGAUAAAAUACCCGUGCGCGGGGAAUUGAAGGUACCAGAUGAAUAAGCCACAGCUAACUACGUGCCAGCCGCCGCUGUAAAAC
rnacentral:rRNA from 1 species